AACUUUAUUUUUGAGAAUUUUUGAGAUCUGAGUGAAAGGCAUGAAUCUGGGGAAUAAGGACAGAUACAACUCUAUUUCUCUCUGAAUGCUGACUCUUCCCAACAGUGGCACACCCAGCCGAGGGCAAGUUCUGGAGCAUGAAGAGCUGAAUUUUGCUUGUUUCUUCUGAGAGUACUUCAAAAUGGACAAGUCUGAAUGACGAUUGGCAAAUCCAGGCAGGAGAAAGCCAACAUCAGUCCCCAAAGAACCAGAGCCUUGGAUUAGAGCCAAGAGGCUUGUAUUUUGAUGCAACACGAGUUGAGUCAACACAAAGGAAUAGUCACUCAAGUGUGCAAGGUCACGAAUAAGGUUGAGAUUCCAGAAACUCUCUUUCCUUGUUACUGAUUUUUGACCUGGUGGUGCGGAAACUGGUUUAAAUGGCCUCAUCAGCAUGAGGCUGGAGAGCUAUGGAUGGUUAGAUACUACUCUCGGGAUAAAAGUGGUUGGCAAAACACUUUUUAGUGAAGAUUUAUUCAACAGAUUAUUUAUUAAGUACCAUGUAUAUACCAAGCACUAUAGAAUGUAUUGGGGAUACAACAGCGAAUAAGACACUGUCUUUGCUCACACAUGGAAAUGAGAAAUUAUAAUGUACCUGUUAAGUGCUACAGUGGGGGUCAGUACAAGGUACUGUGGGAACCCAAGGAUUAUAACCAUUCUUGGUCUCUGAUGGUCAGAAAAGACUUUCCAGAUGCAUAAUAUAAAGACAGAGCCCUUGAAAUUGUAUAAAAUUAGCUAGGUGAUGAAAGAAGUUAGCUUGUGCAAAGGUCCACAGUCUAGCAUGCCUGGAGGUUAAAUCUCAGGGAGCUAGAACAAGUGUGAAAAGAGAUAGAAUCUGGGAUCAUCAAUCUCCUUUUCAUAUAUUGGGUUUGUAGGUCAAGUUAUUCUGCUGAGUUCA